rnacentral:rRNA from 1 species
UUGGAGAGUUUGAUCCUGGCUCAGGAUGAACGCUGGCGGCGUGCCUAAUACAUGCAAGUCGAGCGAACAGACAAGGAGCUUGCUCCUUUGACGUUAGCGGCGGACGGGUGAGUAACACGUGGGUAACCUACCUAUAAGACUGGGAUAACUUCGGGAAACCGGAGCUAAUACCGGAUAAUAUUUCGAACCGCAUGGUUCGAUAGUGAAAGAUGGUUUUGCUAUCACUUAUAGAUGGACCCGCGCCGUAUUAGCUAGUUGGUAAGGUAACGGCUUACCAAGGCGACGAUACGUAGCCGACCUGAGAGGGUGAUCGGCCACACUGGAACUGAGACACGGUCCAGACUCCUACGGGAGGCAGCAGUAGGGAAUCUUCCGCAAUGGGCGAAAGCCUGACGGAGCAACGCCGCGUGAGUGAUGAAGGUCUUCGGAUCGUAAAACUCUGUUAUUAGGGAAGAACAUACGUGUAAGUAACUAUGCACGUCUUGACGGUACCUAAUCAGAAAGCCACGGCUAACUAA